rnacentral:rRNA from 1 species
GAGGAAUAUUGGUCAAUGGUCGGCAGACUGAACCAGCCAAGUCGCGUGAGGGAAGACGGCCCUACGGGUUGUAAACCUCUUUUGUCGGAGAGUAAAGUACGCUACGUGUAGCGUAUUGCAAGUAUCCGAAGAAAAAGCAUCGGCUAACUCCGUGCCAGCAGCCGCGGUAAUACGGAGGAUGCGAGCGUUAUCCGGAUUUAUUGGGUUUAAAGGGUGCGUAGGCGGCACGCCAAGUCAGCGGUGAAAUUUUCGGGCUCAACCCGGACUGUGCCGUUGAAACUGGCGAGCUAGAGUGCACAAGAGGCAGGCGGAAUGCGUGGUGUAGCGGUGAAAUGCAUAGAUAUCACGCAGAACCCCGAUUGCGAAGGCAGCCUGCUAGGGUGCGACAGACGCUGAGGCACGAAAGCGUGGGUAUCGAACAGGAUUAGAUACCCUGGUAGUCCACGCAGUAAACGAUGAAUACUAACUGUUUGCGAUACAAUGUAAGCGGUACAGCGAAAGCGUUAAGUAUUCCACCUGGGGAGUACGCCGGCAACGGUGAAACUCAAAGGAAUUGACGGGGGCCCGCACAAGCGGAGGAACAUGUGGUUUAAUUCGAUGAUACGCGAGGAACCUUACCCGGGCUCAAACGCAGGGGGAAUAUAUAUGAAAGUAUAUAGCUAGCAAUAGUCACCUGCGAGGUGCUGCAUGGUUGUCGUCAGCUCGUGCCGUGAGGUGUCGGCUUAAGUGCCAUAACGAGCGCAACCCCUAUCGACAGUUACUAACGGGUGAAGCCGAGGACUCUGUCGAGACUGCCGGCGCAAGCCGCGAGGAAGGUGGGGAUGACGUCAAAUCAGCACGGCCCUUACGUCCGGGGCGACACACGUGUUACAAUGGCAGGUACAGAAGGCAGCCAGUCAGCAAUGACGCGCGAAUCCCGAAAACCUGUCUCAGUUCGGAUUGGAGUCUGCAACCCGACUCCAUGAAGCUGGAUUCGCUAGUAAUCGCGCAUCAGCCAUGGCGCGGUGAAUACGUUCCCG